rnacentral:lncRNA from 10 species
UGGAUACCAUCGUGUCUGUAUAACAGAUGUGAACUUCUGUCUGCAGCUCAGAAGGUAAACAACUUGCCAGCUCCAGGAACACUUCUGACUGCAGUAUCUGCACUGAGUCAAGAGAAACUGCAUCUGCAGGACCUAGAGAAGCACCCGCGCUCUGUGCCCCGCCGCCUGCUCCCUGCUGCCGCGCUGCUUUCGGAGAAUCCCUUCCCUGAAUGGCGGCGGACUCCCAGAAAUGCCUGGAGAAACCAUUUUCCGUCUACCUCACAGAGCAGCAAGAAUUAAUGUCCUUAUUAACCACAUGCCAGUGAUUACUGCGAUACCAUGUUAAAAGCAUGGCACUGGAAAUCAGAAAAGCAGUGUUUUCAGUUCUGUUACUCAUUCCUGCUUGCAUGUUAAAAUCCUUUAGAAAACUCUAAAA